UACGUAGGGUGCGAGCGUUGUCCGGAAUUAUUGGGCGUAAAGAGCUUGUAGGCGGUCUGUCGCGUCUGCUGUGAAAGUCCAGGGCUCAACCCUGGAAUGCCGAUGGAUACUGCCGGGCUAGAGUUCGGAAGAGGCGAGUGGAAUUCCUGGUGUAGCGGUGGAAUGCGCAGAUAUCAGGAGGAACACCUAUAGCGAAGGCAGCUCGCUGGGACGACACUGACGCUGAGACGCGAAAGCGUGGGGAGCGAACAGG
rnacentral:rRNA from 1 species